GAGGCCUUACAGUUGAUGAGUUGAAUUCGCCCAGAAAAGUCUUUGAUACUUAAUAAUGUCUAAUUCACACACACUUAUUUCAUACAAUGGAUUAUUGUUUUCUAAACAGAAAUAUAUGAUGUACCACAUACAAGGAACUAAGAAGUAGAGCCAAUGUAUUGACAAUUUUUCAGACGUCGAACUAUGAAACUUAAAGGUAAUACAUUUUGCUGGGCAAGAAUCCAAUUUUAAUAACGCCGAGGGCCUCAACACAUUUAAAUUGCAAAGAAACACGUAACUAGUCUGGACAUUGGUAUCUUUUCUGAAGGGAAAGCACAUCUGGUUGUAUGCUUUGGACUGGUCGUCAAUCCCAUCUACAACGAGGAAAGAUAAAACUUCUUUGCAAAAAACAGUAUGCAAUUACCAAUAAGCUUCAGUGGCCGUUCUUAAAAUUCUUCACUAUCAACAAUGGACAUAAUUGAUGAAGACUUUUAAAUUAGGUAUAUUCUUAUAUGUGCCUACUUCCUUUAAUUUGUAAUUGUUUUUCCUGUGUUUCCCCCCACCACCCAUCAGAAGGAUUAAUUAGUUACUUUAUUUUUCCAAAAAAAAACUAUACCUAUGCACUCUGGAGUUA